GUAUGGAGAUCCGAUUUCUUUUGAUUUUUCUAAUGAUUAUUUUUUUUAAAUUUUAGAUCAUGGUUGAAUAUUCAUAUCAAGAUCCUAACUAUGAUUUUUAAAUUAGAUAUAGUACAUUAUUUAAUUAAAAAUAUUUUAAUUGAUUUACUUUCAUUGCUUAAAUGUUUAAAAAAAUUUUGAACUUCACGUACGAAAUCGUAGCAAUUUUCUAACUGUAUGCAGUC
rnacentral:lncRNA from 1 species